GGAAAAGCUCAGCUGCUCGGGUCUUAUUUCCAGAGACAGCCAUAAGCCCUCAGACAAGAAUCACUGCUUCCACCUCCGUCUCAGGCUCCUUUUACCCAAAACCACGUGAUGGGUGAGCCAAGCUUGCUUUUCUGUGGGUUCCAAGUCUUCUCCACUCCUGACUUUCUGAGUUGAUGAGUUUCCUGCUGACCAGUGCCAAGCAUUGAGUGGUACUGAAGAUGCCCAGCAAAUCCCCCAGGGUCCAGUCAUGGUUCUCCGAGUCCUCAUUAUGUGGAAGUGGGAGAACUCGCCCCAGCCAGUAGAGCGGCCACCUUCUCCACCUCCUGCUUCAGAGCCAGGAGGGGUCCGCAUAGCAGGAAGCUGCCACAGCCUCCAAUUGAACAGAACCAAGAUGCCCUGGAGAUGGAGGCCAUCCUGCAGGAAUCCGGUCGUGAUCAUGGUAGAAGUGCUUCAGGCCGGGAAGGAACAUCUGCCUCUGGGGAGGUAAUCGAAUGAGAAGAAAUUGCUUCCUCAUUAAUGAGACAAUUCCACGUGAUCAACCCAGCAAAGGGGCCAUCGAUGAGACUGAACAUUGGCCUUUAGUGGCAGUAGCUCCACCCCCUCCCUGAGCAAUUCUCCCAAAGCCCAUGCAGACCCUGCAUCCCUGCCCUGUGGUCACUUUGAAGUUGGCCCAGUGGGUAAGAAUCAGGGUAGUGAGGGAAAGACACGGGCUGAUGGCCCAGGACCAUUGUCUUCUCCCCUGGUAUUAGAGCGUGCCUGGUGAAGGGGGUCUCCCAAGCACAUGGGAGCUGAAGAUCACCGCACUCUGCACCCAUCCCAACAAUUCCCAGAUCUCCUCAUCUCUUGCUUGAAGUAGACACUCAGUAAACCCAGCCCAUAAGCUGGUGCUCCCCUUUCACAGAC
rnacentral:lncRNA from 1 species